GAUGAACGCUGGCGGCGUGCCUAAUACAUGCAAGUCGAGCGAACAGACGAGGAGCUUGCUCCUCUGACGUUAGCGGCGGACGGGUGAGUAACACGUGGAUAACCUACCUAUAAGACUGGGAUAACUUCGGGAAACCGGAGCUAAUACCGGAUAAUAUAUUGAACCGCAUGGUUCAAUAGUGAAAGACGGUUUUGCUGUCACUUAUAGAUGGAUCCGCGCCGCAUUAGCUAGUUGGUAAGGUAACGGCUUACCAAGGCAACGAUGCGUAGCCGACCUGAGAGGGUGUGCGGCCACCCAGGAACGGGAACACGGUCCAGAUUCUAAGGGGAGGCAGAAAGGGGGAAUUUCCCGCAAUGGGGGAAAGCCGAGCCGAGGAACGCAGGGUGGGGGGAAAAGGUUUUCGGAUCGUAAACCGGUGUUUUGAGGAAAGGAGAAUGUUGAAAAUAAUAAUGCACCCCUUGGCGGGACCUAACCGAAAAGCACCGGUUAAACGCUG
rnacentral:rRNA from 1 species